CCGAGAACUUGCCCUUCGGGGUAGAUCUCCCACCCUUUGUUUAUCAUACUUUGUUGCUUUGGCAGGCCUGCCUCGGCUGCUGGCGUAAGCUGGCUCGCGCCUGCCAGAGACCCCAAAACUCUGAAUAUUGUCGUCUGAGUACUAUAUAAUAGUUA
rnacentral:misc_RNA from 1 species